rnacentral:rRNA from 1 species
AUUGAACGCUGGCGGCAUGCUUUACACAUGCAAGUCGAACGGUAACAGGGUGCUUGCACCGCUGACGAGUGGCGAACGGGUGAGUAAUGCGUCGGAACGUGCCGAGUAGUGGGGGAUAACGCAGCGAAAGUUGUGCUAAUACCGCAUACGUACUGAGGUAGAAAGUGGGGGACCUUCGGGCCUCACGCUAUUCGAGCGGCCGACGUCUGAUUAGCUAGUAGGUGAGGUAAAGGCUCACCUAGGCGACGAUCAGUAGCGGGUCUGAGAGGAUGAUCCGCCACACUGGGACUGAGACACGGCCCAGACUCCUACGGGAGGCAGCAGUGGGGAAUUUUGGACAAUGGGCGAAAGCCUGAUCCAGCCAUGCCGCGUGUAUGAAGAAGGCCUUCGGGUUGUAAAGUACUUUCAGCGGGGAGGAAGGUGUUGAGGUUAAUAACCUCAGCAAUUGACGUUACCCGCAGAAGAAGCACCGACUAACUCCGUGCCAGUAGCCGCCGUAACAC